rnacentral:Y_RNA from 1 species
GGCUGGUCCCAGUGCAGUGGUGUUUACAACUAAUUGAUCACAGCCAGUUACAGAUUUUUUGUUCCUUCUCCACUCCCACUGCUUCACUUGACUAGCCUAAA